GAUGAACGCUGGCGGCGUGCCUAAUACAUGCAAGUCGAACGCAGUGGGGACGGGUGAGUAACCCGUGGGUCACCUCCCAUCAGAGGGGAUAACACUUGGAAACAGGUGCUAAACCGAUACUGAUUGAUGUACCCGCGGUGCAUUAGCUCGUUGGUGAGGUACCGGCUCACCAAGGCCACGUUGCAUAGCUGACCUGGGAGGGUGAUCGGCCACACUGGAACUGAGACACGGCCCAGACUCCUACGGGAGGCAGCAGUAGGGAAUCUUCGGCAAUGGACGAAAGUCUGACCGAGCAACGCCGCGUGAGUGAAGAAGGUUUUCGGAUCGUAAAACUCUGUUGUUAGAGAAGCGGUAUCUAACCAGAAAGCCACGGCUAACUACGUGCCAGCAGCCGCGGUAAUUC
rnacentral:rRNA from 1 species